rfam:Bombyx mori DNA, contig: Bm_scaf40_contig23150, strain: p50T/Dazao, build 2, whole genome shotgun sequence.
UUAACUUAUAUUUGUAUGGAGUUGGAAUGUUUGCCUACGUUUGCCGCUAGGGGCGCUGUUCCAACUGCAUACAAAUUUGAGUUA